GGUGGUGGAGUCACCGUCCCUGGAGGUGUUCAAGAACCAUGUGGAUGUGACAUUGAGGGGUGUAGUUAGUGGGCAUGGUGGGCAUAGGUUGCUGGUUGGACUAUGUGAUGUUUUCCAACCUUAAUGAUUUUGUGGGCCCUACCUGUAAGAGAGGUAUUGAUGUGAAAGGGUUUCAUAUGCGUGGGAGAGGCUGUUGGACUGUCCGUUUUACCAAAUGCAUUGUUAUUGUAAACACAUUAGCUGAGAAAAUCUAGGAGUCUGUGCACUACAUUAAGGGAAUUAUAUUCCAGGGCUUAAGCAAGGACUUAUCUCUGCACAGCAUUAUCUCGUGUUAUAUCAGCCUGGUCACUUGCCUGAACUUAUUUCUGGCAUCUCCAAAAAAGCUUUGUGGUGAUUUAGAAUAAUCCAAGCCGUGCUGACUUAACAUUUCUUUGUCACCAUUGGCUCCGUGUUCAGCUGCAGCCAAAACUGCCCCUAUUGGGAUGGGUAUUGAGAACAAUUUUCUCACUGUAGAAAGUCUUUUAUGUCCCCACAUCUUGAUUACUGCACUGUCUCCCCAUCUCAUGGAAAGCAUAGUUUGAAGACAAAAAAAGGAUUUAAAACAACAAGCUAGAAUUACUCCAAAAGUUAUUAGGGGUGUGUAACAGCAGGCUCACUUCAGUUUGGAGAGAAGGCUGAAUAGAGAUGGCUUUGAUUUACCAUAUCAAGAGCAAUUCAAAAGAUGAGCGCUAACCUUAUUUACCAGAUCCCAUAAUACCAGACUGGAGAUGUGGAUUGAAACUGAUAGGAGAUAAUUCAAAGUGAAUUUUAAAAACUCUAUUUCCUCAAACUGUGUGAUAAACCUCGGCAACUUGCUGCUGCAAGGAAGUGUGAAGUCAGUCAAGAAGUUCAAAGUGAAUUAGACAAAGUAAUGGAUAAAAGGUGCAGAUCAGAUACUUUUGGCAAUAGGUAAGAAUCUUCCUGAUGAUAUUUGUAAUCUAAAAGCGUGAUGCAGGAUCAGUACAAAGAUUGGACCUCAGCGUCUUGUUCCAUGUACCGUCCUUGAGCAAAUCCCACAGUAGCCACUGUGUGAGAUAAAACAGGGCAAGUGGAUCAUUGAUGUCAACCUGAGGGCAUCCUUGAUUGGAAAGGACGUGGUGGAUGUGCUCCCAGGAAUGCUAAAGAGCCCAGGUGGCUACCUAAAGCCUUCUUUCAUUAUCACAGACUUAAAAAGAAUCAGUAGCACUUGCAGAGGGAGCACGUGAAGAGGAGGUGGCUACUUUGGCCCCUGGAUGGUCAAGAAACUUGGGUGGCUGGGAUGUUUUUUCUAUACAAAUCUUUAAUCAAUCUGCUUGAUUAACAUCUGGCUCAGGAAUGAAGGCUAAUGGGAUCCAUACUAGGCCCAGUGAACUGAGUGAGCUGGCACUUUUUUGGUAUAGUAGUGAGGGAGCUCUUGGCACUUUAGUAGGCAUUUCUUCCUUUCAUCUACACUAGCCCAUGCACACUGACUUCUCUGGCACGCUGCAAAGCUCACCAGUUCUCUCAGGUCUUUCUGAGAGGAGCAGAAUUGUGAAGGUGGUGAAAGGGUGAGUGGGGGCGAGGAUUUAUUUGUUUUUUCUUUCUCUUGGCUGUUAUUGGCUCGAUAUCUGAGGAGCAAAGCUAAACUUGUAACUUGUAAGGACUGUAUAUUGAAAUUGCCAGUUGCUCCAGAUAAUGAAGUAGGGAUUUUUGCUCAGAGGAGAAGAAAUGAAAAUAAAUAAAUAUGGAUUCUUUUCACCUAAUUUACGAUCUGCAAAUAUGGUUCCUCCUCAGCCCACAUGAUUAAUUCUCUUCAAUCAAGAGUGACCACCUUGAUUACAUCUUCUAACAAUAAAAAAGCCAUGAAAACUUUCUUUUGUAAGAGAAAAGAAAUCCAACAAUAUCAGAUGACUGCAGUGUGGAUCUUUUUGCCAUUUGUACUGUGGUUUUAGCUAUACCACAGCCAAUAUAUAAAUUAUGGUUCUUCACCUUUAACAUCACUGUCAAACUGAGUAUAGACAGUUUUAUGGCAAUUGCUCUUACUUGUACCAACUGCAAAUACAGUAGAGCUGGUAAAGUGUUUUGUAUGGGCAGCCUAGGAGCUGAUACUACUUGUCGCAACAGAUGCUCAUUGUGAUAUAGCUGCUUUGUUUUUUGCCCAUGUGGAUGAGAUGAGGUGAAUUAGAAAGAUUUGGUUGUGGCUUUCUUUUUUUUAAUUGCAUUUGAUUAACAUUUUUUUUGAAGCUCGGUGUUCUUUUACUGGAAGAUUUUACAGUUUAAGUGCUUAUAGAAGAUGGUUGAUUCCCAAUGGGAAAAGUGCAGCAGUUGUGUGUUAAGGUCUUUGUUCAGACUUAUCAUCCCAGCCUCAGAAAUGUGUUUCCACUAACCGAAGAGCAUGAUAUGCUGAAGGAGAGGGUGUGCAAGUUAGGCAUUUGGCAGUGCUUCCACUGGAGCUGCUGUGCUGAGGUAGUGGUAGAGGUUCAUGAAGUGAGGUGUUCUUUCGAUCCUAUCAUGUCUCAGCUACUUUACAAUCUCUGGAGGGUCCCGGGCAGAGUUUCUAUGAGCUGUGCCUUGGUGUUCACCAGAUAGUACAUGUGCUGCAGAUGUUUUAGGCCGAUCAUCUGAAGUUUAUGAUACCUACAACACGUGGUAUGUUUUGGAUGAUCUUAAUAGUAAGUCUAGUAUCUUAUUUCUGAGGCAUUUUUGUUGCAUGAAGCAAUAAAUUCAAUUCUGUCAUCAUUAGGCAGGUGUUUAUAUGUACUGCAAGACUUUAAUCUCUCCUCUGGGAACAAAAUUCUUUAGGGGGCCAUUCUGUUACUUGGUGUUUGCUUUCCAUCUCUGGCAUGUUUCUGUUUCUAUCUAUGCCAGGAGAACAAGCAUGGUUUUAUGGUUAGGAUGCUGGCUUUGGAUUAUUUCCCAGCUCUGCCAGUGAUUACUAUGGAAGCUAGAGCAUGUCUGUCCCUCAGCUCACCAACCUCAGUGUGAGGGGUAACGGCUUUUUCUGCCAUGUGUUUCAUCUGCUUAACGUGAAAUAUCUUCAGGAUAUACUUUGUGUUGUGAUAAGUAUGUGUGUCAUGGAUCCUACUCCUGGAUAGAGCUUUACACGAAAUCACAGUCUGCCAACAAUAGUGGAACAGACGUUUAAUCUGUGGUAUACUGAGUGAAGAGUUCCCCAAAAUACAAAUGACUUCCCAGUGUUCUGCAUUUUGAUAUUCCUGUGAUAUGCCAGCUAACAUUUUUGUUACAUGACUGCUGUAAUGUUUGGGCUUGGGAGAGUAUCACUGUGUAUCAAUUUCCAUUAAACAAGCUUAUGUAGGUGGUGGGCUGAUUUCUAAUUGGAUCAUGAAUAACUUUUAUUCAAACUUACCCAAGUCUCAUCCAUGGAAUGUCUCCUUGGUUCUUGUAGGAAGUCUCAGUGGUCCCUCCCAUCUUGUUUCUCACUGCCACGGUUCCCUGGUCCUAAGACACUUGCAGCGUCUGAGUGGCCUGGAAAGCCUGGAAUCCACUGACUGCUAGUUGCUGAGCAACUGAAAUAUUGUGCCAAACUUUGGUGAAAAUUGAGUAGCCAUCAGAAAAUUAGUAGAACAAAGAACAGAGUUGGAGGGAAAUGCAUUGAAGCUGCAUUAGGUAAGGAGUUUAGGACAUUGGCUCUUAUCAUCAGACAGCCUCAGUGGAAAAGAAUGUCAUUUUUAAAGAUCUCAGUCUUGGGAAAAAACUGACAAAAACACAGGGAGUUCUUGCAAGGUAAUGCUACAUCAAUUUGAAACAGCCCGGCCAUAAAGGCAAUGUUAAAGCAAUUAUCUCAAGGAAUUGUGGUCAACUGAAAAAAAAUGACCAGACAAAAAAUGUUUCCAAGUAGACUUCCGGUACUUAGAAGGCAGCGUGGUAGGAUAACAGUAAGGCAAACAGACAAGGAGAAGCUCAAACAAAACAGCUUCAAACAUGAGGUAAUUUGUUGUAUGCAUAGAAUUAAGACAUCAACUACCAUAUGCAUCAUGCAGUUAGAUUAAUGUAGAUUGAUGUUUCCUCUUAAUCAUAGCUCUAUUUAAAAAGAAAAAGAUUCCAUUAGGUUAAAAUAAUAUUAUUACUCUUUACUCUUGAAAACAUUUACAAAUGCGUCGCACUAUAAAAUAUAUUAUAGUCUAAUACUUCAGAAAUUCAUGCUGAUACAGAGAAGAAGUUUCCACAUUGUUAUUUUGCGACUCAUAGUUUGUUUAUUUAAGGAAAAAUGCACCAUGAUCUGAGUCUUUUAUUUUUCUGGAGACACUAAGAAAAUUUGUUUCCUUUCCUGCCACCACUGAAAAUGUUCACGCACAUGCAAGUAUGUGCAUGUACAAACACACUCUCCAAGAGGAGGCACGUUUCCCCUGAAUAGGGAGAGAAGACAUUGUGCUUGCAGAUGAUUCAUAUUAUCUCCACCUAUUUAUUUUUUAAAUAUGUUAAUAAUGAUGUUUGAGUUUCACACACAUUUUUACUUAAAAAUCUGAAGUACCUACUUAAUUUCUAAGUGUGUAAUAUUUAAUGAGUAUAUUUUUAUUUUAGCAAACAAAUAUCCAUGUUAAUAGCCAUUUCCCAUGUUAGGAAGUUUCUCCAAUAGUGGUUUUUACUGAUUUCCAUUCUGAAGUAAUCCAGCCCUUUCAGUUGUUUUUUUUUUUUUUUAAUCCAGGUAGGGGCUGUACCUGUUUUGUUGUAAGACCUUUGCAGCCAAGAAUGGUGGCAUCUCAGGGCCAAAAGAAGUGGUGAAUAAAGCCUGAUUUGUAGUUCAGCAGAUGCAAUCUUGAACUGGAAACAGGGAAUGAGAAGUUUACUGCUCAAGCAGUUUCUUGGGACUUGGGUUUUUUUUUGUCAGCGACUCUAAUGUAAGAUGCUGAAGCAAUUCAUGGGACAAAACACUAGAACUGAUAGUUACUUUCUUCUGGUAAGUGAUCUGAUCUCUCUCCUCUGUUGUCUCUGUUUAUGGCUUCACAACUAAUUUAGCAAACCUAUCUAUCUCCAAGUUAGUUAUAAUUUGUGAAUCUUUACUGUUGAUGUAAAAAUGAAAAAAUAAAUAAAUUGGGAUCACUUAGUUUCAUCUUAAGGUAGAUAUUUAAAAUGGUCAGUGAAAUGAGGUGCCUGCUUGUCAGGAAGUAAAGUGAGCCUGCGAUGACCAUCUGCCACGUCCCCCUGGUGCAUGGUUUGUUGCUACUCUGUGAACAAAAGUAGCUUGGGUCAGAUCUGGGUUCAUUGUUUAUGCAUCCCUCCUUUAGAAAAAGCAGAAUUUCUUUUUACAGAAAAAGCCAGAAUUAGAUGGCCUUCAGUUGUUUUUACUUCGUGUGCUUCCAUCUAGUGUCUAAAUAGUACCCACUAAUAUUAAAACAAUCCUCAAAUUUGUUAAGAAUGGAGAGAAUCUCUCUCCUAAAAGCAAACAAACAAAAACCUAAACCAGACCAACAAAGCAAAUAAACAAAACCCCAGUAAAUCCCACAGAGAGAGAAACACAUUGUGCUCUGUUGGUGAACUGUAUGUGGGGGAAGGCCCUGGAAGAAGAUAAAAGGCAGGGUCAGUGCUUAAAAACAGUGUGUGCAUAGCUCCAAAUGGCCACUUUACCCUGACCACAGCCACCUAAAAACUGUUCAGAGUUGCAGUUUUACUCUCAGCAUGCAAUCUGGAUAUACCCCAAAGCUCAAAUUGCAGCCUAGGAGACUGUAAACCUGCAUGGACAGUAGGGCAUGCUGAAAGUCAGUUAAAUAAAUCCCAGCAAAUGUAAGCACUGUCAGCUGCCCUGUCUCUUAAAGCAAGAAGUACUUGCAAGUAGGAAGUUGGGCCCUUCAUCCACAUGCAAAGUCUAAAGUCUGGGUUGAAGUCCUUGAAAUAAAAUUCUUAGCAAUGAAGAGUCCCAGUGUGAAAGAAGAUCCACCUCUCCCUUAGCACCCUUAUUCAGGAUGGUAUGUUUUGAAAAGCAAUGGGUAGGACAUAUUGAUUGUUCUGAAAUCUUAGGAAUUCUAAUGCAGAGCACACAUCACUUCAUGUCUCUUUGCUACAGGGAAUUAGAACUGUGUGCCCACCUUCUGUACAAAACAGAUGAUAGGACUUGUAGUUCAAUUGAGCUCUAGUAAUAUAUAACAUGGGGGGAAGCAUACACCCAUAGUAAAAUAUGCAGAUUUGCUUUCUCUGAAUAGGAAUAAAAAAGAAAGUGAAAAACAGGUCAGGUCUUAACUCUUACAGUACUUUUGUUUUGUUUUGUUUCUGACUGCAGAUGUGGGAUGAUGUCUUUGCAGCAUUAUAUCUCUUUAUUGUCUACACUGAAAUUGUGUAAGAUGUUCAAGACAAAAUUCAGUCCAUGCUUUCAAGCUUUACAGUUUCUUAAAAGUUGAACAAAGGUGGUUGAGUUUUGCACUGGUUUGGUGCUAUUGCUUGUGAUAGAGGAGACAUGGGGAGCAAAAAUGCAGGACAAUGAGAAAAGAAUGGAAACUUCACAGGGAUGGUUUGUCUGGAUGUUGGGUGUGAAAAUCAUGGAGCAAACAAAUUGCUCCGGGCUGGUUCUGAGACCUGUGUUGUAUGUGGAAUGCUCUGAUCCAAGUGGUGAGCCCUACCAAGGGAGGAGGGAGAACGGUGCUAAAGGGGGUUUGCUGCAAGGCUGCAUUUCUUCCAGCUAACAGCCACUUCUAGUUGUGCUUGUCACAAUGCCAGUCACAAAUCUCCCAAAAAUUCUGGAAGUGCCCAUGGAACAGCUCUGUCCUUGUGUCUGACUUAUGCAGUCUUAAUGUGUUGUUUCCUGAUUAGUAUCUUCUGGAGUAUUUCAUUUGUCAUUCUCUAGGUAAACAAAUUAUUAGGAGAUGUAUUACAGCAGUAAUGCUUUUCAUAAAGCUUGGAGCAUUACUGAUUUAGCUGUGGCAGAGACACUGUGGAAUUCACUGUGAGGCUGUGCCUUUUCUUAGAGCAAGAAAUCACUCAGCUGACGCUAUUAUAAAACAUUUGAUAGUUAUUAAGUGGUUUUCCAGUAAUUUUUCAGUGCUUAGCAGAAAACAUUAUCAUAACUGAUAUACACUAAUUUUCUGUUGUUUAUAUGUGUAUGUAGUGUAACCUCCAUUAAAGUGCCAUUACAUUUGUGGAAAAGAUUCUGUAGAAAUGACCUGGUGGUCUUCCAAAUUUAUUCUUUCAGCGACUCCAGAUCAAAUUUGCCUACUUUAAACAAUAUAUUUUAAGAUUGACAGUGUUGUGGAUUCCACCUGGGAUCAAGUUGUGUUCUUUCUGUGUCGCACUAAUGAUGAAGAUGAUUUAAUUGCUUAGCUGACAAAGUUAUUAAUGAUGAGCAUGAGAGAAGAGGGUUGGGCCUUGGUGCCUUACUCCCAUUUCAGGACUUGUCAUAACUGUAGAAUGUUAGCAGAGGGAAAAUCUGUGUUGGUUAGUCAGGUGAGAAGACACAUCUGGAUGACAAAGACCAUGUUAAGUUGGAAGGUGCCAUAAUGAAGUUUUUCUAAUCACUGUGAUAUUUUAAGGUUAGUCAGUGUUUAGCAUCUUAAAUUACUAAAAAGCUCACUUCAUUGGUGAUUGCCUUCUGUUUUCUUCAGCUUUGACUCCAGAGAACUUCUGUAAGAGUAACUUGAAACCAUAAAAGCCAGAUAUUUAUUUAUGUAUUUUGGUGUUAUUGUUGAAUGUUGCUCAGGAUCCAUCAGAAUGUGCUUCACUCAUCACUGCUCUAUCAGCCCUCUCCUUGUCUCCAUCAGCCCAGGAUUCAUUUACUGUCCAUUUUGUGGCUUCCCCAGAAGUAAUAGGUCUGUCUGCAUUCAAACGUUUUGCAUACACAGCUUUGUCAGCUACGAGCACAGGAAGAGAAGAAAAAUACUGCUAAUUAGCAGUUCUGGUGAGUGUUCCUAUACCAGGGAAAGCUCUAUUGAGAGAUACAACUUAAAUCACUUGGACACCUGGUAUAAACACUGUCAGCAAAAAAACUUCCAGCCAAUAGACACUACAGCUCCACUAGGGGAGUUUGUAGUGCAAGCUACGUCAGUGAAUACUUUCUCCUACAGAGAAGGUCCUGUUCAGAGGGUGAAAUUACUGUGUUGCUAAAAGCUUGGGUUCUUCUGAGCACCUGAGGCUGGUGUGCUGCUGCAAGGUGAGUGGUGGCUCUGUAAAAUCACUGUGGGGAUGGGGACAAAAUGUGGUUAUAUUCUAGUUCGCUUUGUCCUGUUCGCAUGGUCCACCGUAACCCAUUUUGGUGACCUUUCUGCUGGUGCUGCUGUAUGUUUGUUUAAUGCAAAAUCUGGCAAUCAAAUGCAUGGUGGGAGAGAGGUAAUAGUCUUCCCACAGAGGACACAGCAGAGCCAGAUAAGGUGGCACUGGGCUUCAUGCCCCCACUCUUCAGUAAGGCAGCAAUGGGCGUCAUCAGUGGUUUGUACAAACAGAAAAAAUUCUCAUCAGAAAUAAUUACCAUCUCUCUGUCCAGGGACAAUCUGGACUUUUUCAUUAUUGCUGUUAUUAUACUGUGAACUAGAUGUCAAUAAGUGUGGUGAGGCCACACUUGAAACAAGAAUGCAUGGCCUUCAUUUCUAAAAAUGCUGGUGAUCCAAACAAAGUGGGAAUACAGUGCAGAAGAAUGAAAGCUCCCAUUCAUUGGAGCUUUUGUGGUUUUACAAGGGAAAUGUGUCUUAACAUGAGCUUCAUUCAAGGGGAAUGCACACAUGGAUUAAUCUAUUAAUUAUAAUCAAAUUAAAGGAGCAUGUUAUUAUAUGUUUUAAACAAUCCCUGGCAGGGCUACUGCUAUCACAAUCAAUGUUUUGAAUUGAAAAAAGAAGUGAAACCACAGUUUUCACUCUUUAUCUGCUUUUGUGUGUAUGUGUUUAACUCAGCUUAGAGUUUGAAUUUACUAGACUUGUCUGGUUCACUUUCCUUUAUGGGCAGUGCAAUGUUCUGGUUUUCAUAUACUAUAAAAGUAGUGAUGCCACAAAAUUACAAGGGAAAUGCUUCGGUCCCUCAGUAUAGAUAUAAUUAAAUCCAACUAAACUAUUUUCAUUGCCUGUGAUGAGGAAUCUUAAAUAAAAUAAACAAGCCACUCAGCUAAUAACAUAAAGAUCAUUUUUAGCACCGCAUUAUCAGACCAUUGAUGAGAAUUUUCAGUUAUGCAUUACGUUACGUAAAUUCAAACCUUUUCUUUAACAAAGCAUACAGUCAUUUUCGUGUGGUAUAAUGUCUACAGCCAACUGUACCUAACAGGACUGUAAUCCUGUUGAGCCGCUGUAAUGGCACGAACCACAAAAGCAGAACCUGAGUGGUUUAUCAAUGUCAGCAAACUCCCAGAUGGAAUUACAGUCUUAUGCACACUGUUCAGUUGUAUGCUAUUCAUUAUAACAUAUGACAAAAAUUAUGCUUCUAUUAAAAAUACACAGAUGAGAAUAUGUGUUGUUGAAGGGGGCUUGUUUAAACAGCAGAAAUAAUCCGCUGGUGCAAAGCAGAAUCAUUUUCAGUGCAUGAUGUGGCCUGCUGCACAGUACCUUUUUGGUCAUAUUUACAGGAUGAUGGGGAUUGAUUCAAACUCUGAAAGAAAUAUAGUACUUCAGGCUCAAUAGUAUGUUUCUGGUUAUGAUUCCUCAGCUGCAGUUUUCUUCUGCUAUCAGCCUCAGGGAAAUCUGGCCAUCUCUGAAGAAAGUAUGAGCUGGAGCACAGCGCUGGGACUCUCUGUGAAGUAAACUAUGAGAAUCACCAGCCAGGGAAGUCCUUUGGGAUCUAUCAAGACUUCCUAACAGUGUGACAACACUUUAAAGUCGAUAUUGGAGAUUUAAUUCCAGUGACUCCUGAGAGCUUGUCUUUCAGGCAUUUUCCUCAUGUAAAUGCCCAGAUUGAAAGCUUUGUUUCAGGAAUAUGGAUGCUGCCCAAAUGUAUCCGCAUGGUUCCAAUUAAGGGGAGGAAUGUUUAAUGUAAAACUCAACUUGAUGAAAAUAACUGAAGUUUCUGACAAACCAAUAAAUUGGAGUCUAGAAAGCUCUGCGUACACAGUACAGUCAGGGAGGGGCAACACCCGCUGGGUCAUCAAUUUUGGUGAAGACUUCCUGUUCGUUUAUACUAAAAUAAUACUAGGUCAGUCCAUAAACCAGAUGGUAUUUCUUAUUGCACGGGGACAGCAGAGAGAAGAUAAUGCAGAAAGAAAACAGACUGUGUUUGUACUUUCUAUUGUUGAAAUACUAUCAACAAGGUAGGGCCUGCUUGGCUACAGGAAGUGCAGUGGGAAGUGCAAGGACAGAAGAUCCUGUGACAUUGAACCGUACAAAGCCAACAUAAAAAAUCAUCAACAAUAUCCUUUCCUCCAGUGAUGAGCUGGAAAUAAGUUUCUGCACUAAAGACCUUCCAUCUUCCUCCCUUAUACCACUGAGGGGUGAACAAGAAUGAUCAUUCUUGAAUUUUCUCUCCAUUCUUCACUGCUUCAUGUAACCAGUGGAUUUCUGGAAAAUAAAUUAUCUUGUGAAAUAAAUAAUCAAGUGAGUCUUGGCUUGAGCCAUACGGAGUCUUCACGCACCAUAGGUGCACUUUGAUGUUCAGACACUGAUGCUACAUUCAGGAAUUGUGGGAAGGGAUAAAGUCUAGGAUCUUGCCACUACAUUGUUGCCUAGUGCAGGCCUGAGCAGAUGUUUAAUUUUGGAUGUCCAGGUGGUUGUCAUCUGGCUCUGCUACUUCUUUGUUUAUCAACUACCUUUAUAGCAUUUGAUAGGCAACCAGUAUGUGGUAUAAUUCAUCCUGGAAGCCUACCUGUCAAGAUCCCACAGAAAUAAUCAUAGAGUCAUAGGCUGCCAGAGUUGAGUAUGUCUUUACAUGCUAACAGCAUCAAGGCUUCUACAGAACUUAGACUUCUGUGUUUAAGCAUCUGUCUGUGUGUGGGCUAAGUGUCUGAGUCCUGUUCUAGUCAACAGACAACUUGUCAGUAUAGUCUGUGAAGCCUAAACACAUCAAGUUGACAAGUCACUGAAUUCACCUGUCCAUGCAUGGGUACCUGAUACCAUAUAAGAUGCCCCAGGAUGUUCUGCCUGACCUCCUGCCAGUUUAGAAAAUCAAGAGCCUUCUGUGGGGCAUGUGUCAUUUUUGCCUGCCCUAUGGCAGUGUUUUAGAUACUCUACAAUAUAUCAAAUAGCACAGGACACCUAACUGCAAGCAAGCAUUCUAAGCACCUAGUUUUAAUUGAGGUUAAAUGCCUUUAGACACAGUUGGAAAUCUCACUUAGCUACAAUGCAAGUUUACAUACUUGUAUGUCCAUGUAUGAAGAUAUGUGUCUUCAUGCUAAGCUGAAUCUCACUCUAUAAAUCACAGGUUGAUUGAAGAAAAUGAUAUGAAUAUAUGCUAAAUCAGAGAACUAGACCAUCCUAGCUACCACUCACAUAAAGGCUUCAAAAGAGUGUGUAGGUGUAGCCAAAAUUUCCAGUAGGUUAUUUGUUAUGUUCAAGAUUUAAACUGCCCAGAUUUAGUUUCAGAGCUGGAUGAUAUUUUGUCCAUAGAGAGAAAACACAGAAAUGUUACUAUUAGCUAGACUAACUAUUGCUUUACAUUAAUUUUAUUUUAUUAAAACUCAAAAGAAUUGCAUUUGCAGCUGAAAAACAUGAGUUGAAACUGGAUUAUUCUAAUUAACACUUAUUUCAGAGAAAUGCCACCCACCAGUUUUUCUGAACAUGAUGAAAAAUCAAUUUAUCAAUGCUUACAUUAAGUAUAAUACCAAGUCCGUAGCAACUUCACUUCAUGUAAUUAUCUAACUUUGGUUGAAUAUUGAAUGUGUUGGAAAACUCAGAUGUGGUUCAACCAUCUGGCACCAUAUCAUACAUUUUAAAGAUGUAUUUAAGACUUUCUGCAUCUGGAAUAACACCUCUGUGCUCUGAUCUUUGUUUCAGUUCAAUCACAUUAUUUUCUUAUGAGGCCAGAGUUACCAUCACUAAUUAGGUCUUGCAUUUUGUUUUACUAGAUUAUCUGGUUUUUAACUAUAAGUGAUCCUUGACCAGACAACAAUAUUUGAAUACUUGGAUUAAGUUGUUAUCUGAGUAAAUCCAUGCCAAUUUUCAGACAAAACUGAGUAAGUUUUCCACUUUCCCAAAAAUUUAGAAAGCAGUGGUUUUUGAUUUUCCCAUAUUCCAUGAACACCAGUUUGAAAGGUUGCUUGUAAAAUGUUCACCAUCACCUGUUAAUGCUGAAUUCUCACCCCUUCCUGGAUUCCUUUCUGGAUUCCAGCCUGCAGCAGAGGGUACAAGAGUUUCUUCCAGGAGAUCUCUCAAUUAAACAGACAAUAGCAAUUAGCAGUUUUUCAUGUCUCAGCUUCACAAUUUUGAACCCACUACUGCUGUUCUUUGUACUGUGCCUAGUGCUGUCUGAGUGCAUAAGCUAUGCUCAAGAGCACCUACUCAGCUGCAGGGAUAAUGCGGAGUUGAGGUCACAUCCUGCAUUGAUUCAAACAGUGAUGAUGCUUAUGCAAGAGCUAAACUUUCUAUAUGGUCCAUAGAAAAGGGCAUUUGUACCUGGCUGGGAGCUUAAACACAGGACCACCAGGAACUCUGUGAUCCAUAAUGAGCUGUAUAUGCUGAGUUUAGAGGCUGCCAGUCCUGAAGGGCCGCUGCAACUGCUUGAGUCAUGCCCAUGGAUUUUGGAGGGAUUAAACUUUUCAGCCCGGCUUGUACACCACAGGAAGAAAUCUGAAUUUCACUCUUUGCCUUUUGCGCAGAAUCUCCUUUAUGAGAUUACAGAAUGUGUGCACAGCAGAGAAACACUAGUAAUUCCACUGACAGAUGUUUUCCAGGCACAGUGUAACUGACCAACGUCACCAGCCGUAGCUCAAGUACCACAUCACCAAAACAAUAUACUUCAAACAUGUGUUUAAGUGUGUUUUAGACUUAAAUUGUGACUGACUUUUGAGGUACUAUCUCCAUUUUGUUGAUACUGAAAGAAGUAGGGGAAGUAGCAGGUCUGUGAAUACCACAAAUUCUGUUCUGAGAUAAAAAUGCUACUUUGGCAGUAUUCAAGCUAUUUUUUCCUUCAUUGGAUGUAUUAUAUUGGUUUUAUUUUGCCUCAAACAGCAGAAUUUAUUAUGCUACAGUUUUAUAGAGGCCAAAUUCACUUUUCUGUACAAAGUAGAGUAACUCCUAGUAAAUAAUGCUUUUGAUAUUAUUAAAAUAACUAUCCUUUUAGAUAAAAAUUUUCAAUCAAAUUUGUGACAAUCCUUAAAAAUAAAUUACUUUUUAAUUUAUAUUUGGUUUAGCAUUAGAAUAUACCCCAGGAAGAAAAAGAAAA